UUUUUUAAUGUGAUCCCGCCCCUCCCCCGCGCUCUGUGUCGCACCAGAGACGUCGACGUAAACUGGGUUUCCUGGACGCACGCCAGUGAUUGACUUGGAAUGAGGAGAGGGGCGGGGCCUUAGCAGUUGCCCUGAGCCAAGUCUGGUAGGAAGGGCGAGGGGGGCCAGGGUUGGGGGCGUGCAAGAUAUUUCCAGUCUCCAGCAUCCACCCACAAGUUGGACUGGGGAACUAACGCAGACCUUGAAGGCAGAUUUACUGGAUUGGACCCCCAGCUCCAACACAGUCCUCCUAUGGCCUUAGGCAAGCCAGGUAGCAUGAAUCUCAUCAGCACAGAGAGAAAGCUUCACUGAAAACUCAUUACAGCUAAACUACAUUUCCCAGCAUCCCUUGCAGUUAGGUACAGCCCUCUAACUGAGUCCUGGCCAAUGGAAUGUGGGCAGAAGUUACGUGUGC